UGUAUAUAAAGGCAGGACAUUUUCAAUAUCAAAUAUACAAGUUUAUAAAUUCUCUUUGAACUUUUAAAUCGUUUUGAAUAAAAACUAUACGCUACGAUGUUUUCUUUUCGCAUGAUAAUUAUCGGGGCAUUGUUGAUCAUUGGCGUCAUCUUAUCGGAGAAUGGUGCUGAAGCAGUUGGCUCAUUGGGGCAAAUGGGAUUUCCGGCGAAUGGUGGAGACGAUAAAUAAUUUCCAUAAAUUGUACCGGCAACAAGAGAAGCAGUUCCAGCAUCUAAAUUAACAAAUAAUAAAUUGAAUAUUCAAAAUUAAAUAAUAUUAAAACGAGAGGAAAAAAUAAACUCUCCUUAAUUUACGUAAAAUCUAUUGAUAAAAUGAUUUGAAAAAAAUUUGGCUAUUUUAUUAUCUUGUAAUAACUUAUUUAUAUUUCGUAAAAUUGAAAAAUUAAAAUAUCUGUAUAAUAUUAUUUGGAAAAUUAAAUAAAAUAAAUAACUUUCAAUGUUUGUUUUGGAUUUUUAA
rnacentral:lncRNA from 1 species